CUUACUUGUCAGCUGCAUCCAUGUGCAAGUAGAUCUACUGAACUCUAGGAAGAACUGAUGUCCUAGUCUCAUGUUACUGAUAUGCCCCAUAAAAGAAAUAGCUUCUCCAGAGGUUUCUUUGGACUUUCACCAAGAAAAAAAUGACAAGGUUAGGCACUACUUUGUUGUGUUUAUGCUGGUGUUCUUUAGUUUCCAGAGCAAGGUAAGUGGCACACUACCUUUCCAUCAUUCACUGGCAAUGUUGAUUAGGGUCCACUUCAAAUCCACAGAAGUCAUCAAAAGGCUCCUUUUGGUUGACACUAAGAAAAGCUUCUGUACUUUAUAGAUGUGUUUCAUGAUUAGGAUCAUCUUAAUACUACCAACAUGUUUAUUUUCAGGAGUAAUAUUCGUCACAGCUUCACUGGUUCUCCUCCAACUUUACUAUAAGGUAUUUUGAUUAUUUUGUACUGAAGGGAUAUUUGUAUGAUCUUAUUGAUCUGCAUGAACCAUGUGGUGGUGGUAUAUGCAACUGGGAAAGUAUAUGAGAAAGUGUUGGUAUCCCAGAAAUAUGAAAUAUAGGCAUCUCUAUUCCCUAAAGAAGAUUCAAGUGUUUUUUCUUACUCUAGGCACGCAAAGCUUAGUCAGCUAUUCUGAAAUUUACAUUCGAUAUAGAUUCUAUUGUGCAGGCAAAUUCAGAGGUUGGAUCCUCUCUUGUACAACAUCUAUGCAAGAUACUAAUGGGAAUGUGUGCAACACCUGAUCAGGAAUGAACUGUAUCAAAUCCAACUCUAUAUAUUGAUUGGAUCUGUGCUCUUUGAUGAAAACUACUUAUGUGACUGUAAGCUGCAAUAUAUUUACAAUAGCUCAUCUACAGCAGGAAGGACCUAAUGGUGAGAACUGUGAGAAUUUUACUACUGUAUAAACCAAUUUAUCUCCAGAUAAAUUACUGUGCUAUGUUUUCUGCAUUUGCUUAUCAGUCUUUUGAAGUCCUUUGGGCAUCACAUUUCCUGUCACAGCAUAUGGUACAACCAAUCAUAUCUUGGAAACCAUGUUGUCUUCAUCAUUAUGUUUCUAAAGCUGACCUUCUACCCUGCUGUGAGUUUGCAUUCUCUCUGUAUUUAAGCUUCCAGCAAAAUUGGCAAUAGGAUUGUGAUUUCCUAUAUAGGACUCAUUAAUGUUUGUCUUCUGAGCAGUGAGAAACUCCACAGAAAUGGCAAGUAAUGGGACAAAACUGGCUGCCAUUACAGUUAGGCCUUUUGAUUUCGGUCGGUGGUGUGUCAGAUGUGCAGCAGAAACCAAAAGGCCGAGCCCUGCUAGUGUUUGAACAGGUAAUAACAUGUUACAUUUAGAUCAAAAGCAGCAAGGCGUGCUGUGUUCUCUGAUGUGUUCAGAGGUAUACUUAGAAUAAUGCGGAGAGCUCUUGUCGCUGCGCAGCGUGGCUUCAAGCUGGCACGUGAAGGGACUGCAAAGGAUGUGUUCCUUAACCUGAUUGCAGUGAGACAUUUACGUUUACUGUGUGA
rnacentral:lncRNA from 1 species